GGCUGGUGCUCGGAGCUGGGCAGAGAAGGUCUCAGGCUGGGGGGUCCCGACGACUUUCCAGAUCUCUCCCUCCUGAGCAGCGAUGGGGGCGGGACGGAUCCUGGGGGCCGGGAGCUGCUGGGCUGGGGCUCUGCUCAUGACACUGACGAACGACGUGUAGGGAAAGAGGGUAC